UGGGGAAUAUUGCACAAUGGGCGCAAGCCUGAUGCAGCCAUGCCGCGUGUGUGAAGAAGGCCUUCGGGUUGUAAAGCACUUUCAGCGGGGAGGAAGGCGGUGAGGUUAAUAACCCCACCGAUUGACGUUACCCGCAGAAGAAGCACCGGCUAACUCCGUGCCAGCAGCCGCGGUAAUACGGAGGGUGCAAGCGUUAAUCGGAAUUACUGGGCGUAAAGCGCACGCAGGCGGUCUGUCAAGUCGGAUGUGAAAUCCCCGGGCUCAACCUGGGAACUGCAUUCGAAACUGGCAGGCUAGAGUCUUGUAGAGGGGGGUAGAAUUCCAGGUGUAGCGGUGAAAUGCGUAGAGAUCUGGAGGAAUACCGGUGGCGAAGGCGGCCCCCUGGACAAAGACUGACGCUCAGGUGCGAAAGCGUGGGGAGCAAACAGG
rnacentral:rRNA from 1 species